rnacentral:lncRNA from 1 species
AGUACAUUUACUACAAUAUAAUAAUUACAUAAAAGAUCAAAGAUUCAAAUUACAAGCUGUACAUUAAAGCAAAGAAAGAAAAAAAAACCACCGAGUUAUACUAAGAAGGCUAAAUUGGAUUAAUGGUCCCCGUGGUAAUAGGUUAAUAGGAAGAUAAUCCCCGUGGUGAAAAAAUUCGGAUUGAAACCCUCAUAGUGAAGUCCCGUUAGGAUUUAAGCCCAAAAUUAACAUUUCCGUUAGAAUUUUCAAUUUUGAGAGCUACUUUUCCUCUAUUUUUUUUUUUCGAAGAUAUUUUUGUUAGAAGAAGGAAUGCGGGUAAAAUUCUAACACCAGUCACCACCAUCAUCAACUCCAACCCCAAAAUUUCACACCCUUUUCUUUUCCUACAUUUCUUCUAAUCCCAGAUUUUGUUUCUCAUAAAUACUCAUAUCCUUUUCUUGGUUUUCGUUUUUAUAAAUUUUGCCCUUCUCUCACCUAUGUAUUAUCUUCUCUUACCCUUCUUUUCCCCUCCUUCUUCUUCUCGUGUUCGUCAAUUCGACUGGUUAUUGUUGUUCGUCGUCUAUGGAUAAAUCUGCAAUCUUGUUGUAUAUCGCUGCCUUGGCAACUUCGCUACGAUUAGUUUCUUCGUCUUCUGUUCUAUGCCCUCAUGACUCCGAUUUCUUAAUUUCUUUUAUUUUGGAGCUGAAAAUGAUUAGUUAAUUAACUCAUAUGUUCCAUAACUAUAGCUAUGACUCUAUGAUUUGGGUGCUGGGAUGAAGAUAAAUAUCCAUUGGUUUGCUCCAGGCUGAAGGUCUGGAGAGAAAAUGAGAGAGAGAUGGGAUGCAAAGAACCAGGUAGGGAGAGGCAGAAUCAAAGAACCAAGGUGGAAAUGUUAACGGAAGUUGACGUCAGUUAAUUUUGGGUUUGAGUCCUAAUGAAACUUCACCACGAGGGUUUAAAUCCAAUUUUUUUCAACACGGAGGUUAUCAUCCGAUUAACCUAUCACCACAGGGACCAUUAAUCCAAUUUAGUCUACUAAGAAAUAUCAAUUUAUCUAUGAAGUACCAAAUAAACCUCCAAUAACCAAGACAUAGUUACUUGAACACUUCAUUUUUCUUUGAACAUCUCCAAACAAAGGACUUCGAGAGUGAAACACUGCCUCGAAUGCUUGAGCUUCAGAAGUUGUUACCUCCUUUGAUCUGCAUAGACAUAAAUAUAUGGAUGAAAAGAAAAACAAAAUCUUGUACUACUAUGGGUGGAACUAUACAUUUGAUCUCAAUUAAAAAAAUGAAUAGAUAAACACAUGAUUAGAUCACGAAUCUACUCUAGCCACUACAUACAUUUCUGGAAAAUAUACUAUAUAUUUCUUUGCUGCUCCGUUCCAUUUCCCAUCUGACCUAAGUCAUUAGCUUCUGAUCAAUUGCUUACACAUUCAGGUUAUCUAGUGCACAAAAACCAAACAUGAUACAUAUUUACUCCAUUAACUACCACAUAUGACUUGUCUUUGUCGUUUAAGACGGGGAAUCGUUUGUUCCCACAAUGCAAUUGAUUGAACUCAUAACUGGAAAGAUAAUCAUCACAAAGCCGAGUAAAAACACAACCAUAUGAUUUUAUCCAUGAAAAAUCAUAUCAAAAUUACUUUCAUUUUUUUAAGCAUUAACUACCACAAAUAAACCAUUUAUCAUUUCCCAUAAUUUGUAAUUGAUUAAAUUAAAAAAAUGGAAGAAUUGAAAUAUAUUAAAUUAUAACAAUAAAAUAAAAAAAGAUGAAGCUUAAUUACCCACAGUGAAAAGAGUCCCAUCUGAAAUCGUAUUCUCCAAACCAGACACCGGCGAGAUCUCAUGCUUUCUAAUUGGAGGAGAAGACGGAGAUCCAGUAGAUUGGGAAUAAUGAGACGCCCAAAAAAUUAGAAAAAAUAGGCUUUUAAAAGUGUAUGCAAACAAGGCAAAGAAGAAGAUGUAGGGGAGCCAGAUUGCAAAGAGAGAAAAUGGGUUUGGGGUCGGAGAAGAAGAAUAAGAGAGAUCGAGCAAGGGGUAGGGAGUUUAGCAGGCGUUGAAAUUCUGGGGAGGGGAGUCUUGCAGUAACUACCUAGUUGAUGGG